UACAGAGGUCUCAAGCGUUGUUCGGAUUCAUUGGGCGUAAAGGGUGCGUAGGUGGCGUCGUAAGUCAGGUGUGAAAUUUCGGAGCUUAACUCCGAAACUGCAUUCGAUACUGCCGUGCUUGAGGACUGGAGAGGAGACUGGAAUUCCUGGUGUAGCGGUGAAAUGCGCAGAUAUCAGGAGGAACACCGAUGGCGAAGGCAGGUCUCUGGCCAUAACUGACGCUGAGAAGCGAAAGCAUGGGGAGCGAAACAGG
rnacentral:rRNA from 1 species